rnacentral:tRNA from 1 species
AAGAAAGUGACAGAGUGGGUAUGUACCUGGCUUGAAACCAGUGGAUGGGGGUUCAAUUCCCUCCUUUCUCG